rnacentral:rRNA from 1 species
GACAAUGGGCGCAAGCCUGAUCCAGCCAUGCCGCGUGCAGGAUGACGGUCCUAUGGAUUGUAAACUGCUUUUGUACAGGAAGAAACACUCCCUCGUGAGGGAGCUUGACGGUACUGUAAGAAUAAGGAUCGGCUAACUCCGUGCCAGCAGCCGCGGUAAUACGGAGGAUCCAAGCGUUAUCCGGAAUCAUUGGGUUUAAAGGGUCCGUAGGCGGUUUAAUAAGUCAGUGGUGAAAGCCCAUCGCUCAACGGUGGAACGGCCAUUGAUACUGUUAAACUUGAAUUAUUAGGAAGUAACUAGAAUAUGUAGUGUAGCGGUGAAAUGCUUAGAGAUUACAUGGAAUACCAAUUGCGAAGGCAGGUUACUACUAAUGGAUUGACGCUGAUGGACGAAAGCGUGGGUAGCGAACAGGAUUAGAUACCCUGGUAGUCCACGCCGUAAACGAUGGAUACUAGCUGUUCGGGGCCUUGAGCUCUGAGCGGCUAAGCGAAAGUGAUAAGUAUCCCACCUGGGGAGUACGUUCGCAAGAAUGAAACUCAAAGGAAUUGACGGGGGCCCGCACAAGCGGUGGAGCAUGUGGUUUAAUUCGAUGAUACGCGAGGAACCUUACC